CGUCUCGUCUCGUCUCGUCACGUCACGUCUCGUCUCGUCACAUCACAUCACAUCAAAUCAUAUAUGGAUGUAUUAAGUGAGUGUGUCUCUGAGAGCAUGAGCUCAUCCUGCAUUAGCAGCCGCCGGAGGGAAGGAUUGAGUUUGUGGGCAGCCGGUCUCGGUGCCGGUUUGGCUCGUGUUUACCAGCAGACAGCUGGUCUGUAGAGAUGAUUCACAGAUCUGUGUCUGGAGAAAGCUGAUCCGCUGCUGACGGUGCAGGAAAGCCUGAUGUGAGCGGAUGAUGCUGUCAGACUCAGCUGCUGCACUCCAGGAAUUGAAUCAGCAUGCUUUUGCCAAGGGCCAAAAUUCAAAUGCAAUACAACUGUGCAAAAUUAAUGCAGUUUCCAGUGAAAAUCAGCGGAAGGAAACCGGAUCAGAUCCACUUCAGUGACGGAAAUGAGCGAUGAAUGACUUCCAUGAACCUGGACGGAUCGCGAACUCCCAGCAGAGUUUGUCUGUGUGAACGUCUGCUGCAAUCGACCCGUAAAAACAACCUGGACUCAACCAUUUAGAAUAAAUCUGAGCAUCGCAGGCAGACGCUCCUGAUGAACGGACAAUAACCCUGAUGCAUCGUUUCCAGGAAAGUCCUCCGUUAUAUCGACCCCUCCUUUGCACUUAUUAAAGACACAGCGAGGUGCAAUCAGAAUACA